rnacentral:tRNA from 1 species
GGGGAUGUAGCUCAGUGGUAGAGCGCAUGCUUUGCAUGCAUGAAGUCGUGGGUUCAAUCCCCAGUAUCUGCU